rnacentral:rRNA from 1 species
UACGUAGGGUGCGAGCGUUGUCCGGAAUUACUGGGCGUAAAGAGCUCGUAGGUGGUUUGUCGCGUUGUCCGUGAAAACUCACAGCUUAACUGUGGGCGUGCGGGCGAUACGGGCAGACUGGAGUACUGCAGGGGAGACUGGAAUUCCUGGUGUAGCGGUGGAAUGCGCAGAUAUCAGGAGGAACACCGGUGGCGAAGGCGGGUCUCUGGGCAGUGACUGACGCUGAGGAGCGAAAGCGUGGGGAGCGAACAGG